rnacentral:tRNA from 1 species
CAGGGUGUAGCUCAGCUUGGUAGAGCACCUGCUUUGGGAGCAGGAAGUCGCAGGUUCAAAUCCUGUCACCCUGA